GCCGCGGUUGAAGCCAAAAUUCAAGUUGAGUAUAUUUUAGUUAACUAGUUAACUUGGGUGACUGUAUGGUCUCCUUACGUCAUCAUCAAGUAUUUUCUUGGGAGGAACAUGGGGGUUUCCAACGCCACCGUCCUCCCGUCCCGUAUAUAACCAGGGCCUGCUAAGCUGAGUUUCGACUAAGGAGCUUGGGGUGGUAGGUGCCAUGUGUGUUCGAGUUUUCCUUGAUUCAUGGCGGGGGUUUGCAAGGUACAGUGUGGGAUUUGUUUUUUUUAACUUUCCAAGGAGGACAAGAGCAAGAGCGAAGAAAGAAAAAAGAAUGAAGGAAGGAAGGGAAAAAGGCGGAAAGUAGAACUUCAAAGAACAAAACUGCCCAUGCACAUCUCUUUUAUGAGAGAAUCAGAUCCUACGGUGGUUGGGCAAAAGAUAUGGGCCUGUUUAGGGGUUGAAGUCCAAAGCUUGGCCGCUGAGCACUAAGCUAGUUUACAGGUAUCAGUCUGAUUCAUGGGAGCUCCUCUGCGCAUGGUUAUUUGUGUCACAAGUAACUACCACCUAUCAUUCUUCAUAAUAUCCAAGAAAUCGUCAAGAGAUAUUAGUAUAUAUAAACAGAUAAAAGUUUGAAUAUCUUGCCUCGGUUGUAUAUGGAUAUCAUAUAAUAACCUUGGAAAGGAUCAAGCCGUAUUUUGCUUGGUCUGCACCGCACCACAAUCCAAGAACAUGCACUGCGCCAGCAAUCCAAUUAAAUCGAGAAUAACAAUAGUAUUUCUUCCAAGUUUUUCCCGACCUACCACCUCCCUUCCCGUUUGAGAAAAAGGAAGAAGAAAAAAAGGGUAACUCUUCCCAUCCGGGGAGGUAUGUCCUGGACUUUACCGCACAUACUGCAACUGCAAGGUUACAAUGUACAGUACCUAAAGCUGAAACGGCAUUCCCUGGUCUGGUUGGUGCUAUAUUUUUUCGCUCUAUCUCAUACUCAGCCCAAGAGAGUUAUAGAAAGGCCAUGAAACACGCACACGCACACGCACACGCACACAAUCAACCCCCACCCCAACUCCUCCAAAUCCCAGCAGCGCGGGAUUCGGCCGGCAUCCUCAGGUAGACAUUGAGGAUCGGCCAGAAGCCGCAGGAGGCAGACCUGACGAGAGGGAAAUUGCAUCCGGCACUCUGGAAUUGGUGGGUCCCAAGUGAUUCUGGAAUUCAGCUGCUUUUUGUUCUCGUUCAGUCGGUCCAAUCUAUCCUGUUGAGGGGGCCUUGGGUAGGGUUUCUUGAUGAUGUAUGAUGUUUAGAAGAAGGAUGUAUCACCGGGGUGGUCAGAGCUGAAAUUGAGCUGCGCCAUUGUUCUAAAAGAGAGGGACGGGUGAGCGGGGGGUGUGACUUGGGUGGUUUGUGCUUGCAAUUUGUCCCUCUCUCUUGGCUUGGCUUUUCUUCUUCUUUCUUCUUCUUGUUCUGUUGCUUGCUGCUUCUUUGAGCGGAUAGGAGAGCAUGGUCAUGGGCGAUGAGCGUACUGUAAGUUUCUUUAGUUAGGUCGCUUCCACAACUUUUCUGUGUCUGUUUUUUGUCUCUUUCUUCCUUGAUAUAUGUUUCCUUAACUUUUUCGUUUUCCCCUCUUCACUGAGCGAACGGGCCAACUAGAUAGUUUGGUUGGUUGGCUCAGGUUGGUUGGUUUGGUUGGUUGGGGUUUCUGGUGUGGUGCCUCCAGUCAAAGGAUUUGGAUUGUUCUAGUUCUAGCACUGAGUGUGG
rnacentral:sRNA from 2 species